rnacentral:rRNA from 1 species
UGGGGAAUAUUGCACAAUGGGCGCAAGCCUGAUGCAGCCAUGCCGCGUGUAUGAAGAAGGCCUUCGGGUUGUAAAGUACUUUCAGCGGGGAGGAAGGGAGUAAAGUUAAUACCUUUGCUCAUUGACGUUACCCGCAGAAGAAGCACCGGCUAACUCCGUGCCAGCAGCCGCGGUAAUACGGAGGGUGCAAGCGUUAAUCGGAAUUACUGGGCGUAAAGCGCACGCAGGCGGUUUGUUAAGUCAGAUGUGAAAUCCCCGUGCUCAACCUGGGAACUGCAUCUGAUACUGGCAAGCUUGAGUCUCGUAGAGGGGGGUAGAAUUCCAGGUGUGGCGGUGAAAUGCGUAGAGAUCUGGAGGAAUACCGGUGGCGAAGGCGGCCCCCAGGACGAAGACUGACGCUCAGGUGCGAAAGCGUGGGGAGCAAACAGG